rnacentral:rRNA from 1 species
UCCUACGGGAGGCAGCAGUGGGGAAUAUUGGACAAUGGGCGAAAGCCUGAUCCAGCCAUGCCGCGUGUGUGAAGAAGGUCUUCGGAUUGUAAAGCACUUUAAGUUGGGAGGAAGGGCAGUAAGUUAAUACCUUGCUGUUUGACGUACCGACAGAAUAG